GUGGGGAAUCUUGCGCAAUGGGCGAAAGCCUGACGCAGCCAUGCCGCGUGAAUGAUGAAGGUCUUAGGAUUGUAAAAUUCUUUCACCGGGGACGAUAAUGACGGUACCCGGAGAAGAAGCCCCGGCUAACUUCGUGCCAGCAGCCGCGGUAAUACGAAGGGGGCUAGCGUUGCUCGGAAUUACUGGGCGUAAAGGGCGCGUAGGCGGAUCGUUAAGUCAGGGGUGAAAUCCCAGAGCUCAACUCUGGAACUGCCCUUGAUACUGGCGAUCUUGAGUGUGAGAGAGGUAUGUGGAACUCCGAGUGUAGAGGUGAAAUUCGUAGAUAUUCGGAAGAACACCAGUGGCGAAGGCGACUCACUGGCCCAAUACUGACGCUGAGGCGCGAAAGCGUGGGGAGCAAACAGGAUUAGAAACCCGGGUAGUCC
rnacentral:rRNA from 1 species